rnacentral:rRNA from 1 species
CCAAUAGCGUAUAUUAAAGUUGUUGCAGUUAAAAAGCUCGUAGUUGAAUUUCGGGAUCAAUACGUCGGUCGUGCUUCGGUACGUACUGGCGUCAUUGGUUUCUCCCUUCUGACGAACCAUGAUGUCAUUAGUUUGGUGUUAUGGGAAAUCAGGACUGUUACUUUGAAAAAAUUAGAGUGUUUAAAGCAGGCUCACGCUUGAAUACAUUAGCAUGGAAUAAUGAAAUAGGACGUUCGAUCCUAUUUUGUUGGUUUCUAGGAUCAACGUAAUGAGUAAUAGGGAUAGUUGGGGGAAUUAGUAUUCAAUUGUCAGAGGUGAAAUUCUUGGAUUUAUUGAAGACUAACUACUGCGAAAGCAUUUGCCAAGGAUGUUUUCAUUAAUCAAGAACGAAAGUUAGGGGAUCGAAGACGAUCAGAUACCGUCGUAGUCUUAACCAUAAACUAUGCCGACUAGGGAUCGGAUGAUGUUAAUUAUUUAAUGACUCAUUCGGCGCCUUACG